rnacentral:rRNA from 1 species
GAUGAACGCUGGCGGCGUGCCUAAUACAUGCAAGUCGAGCGAACAGACGAGGAGCUUGCUCCUCUGACGUUAGCGGCGGACGGGUGAGUAACACGUGGAUAACCUACCUAUAAGACUGGGAUAACUUCGGGAAACCGGAGCUAAUACCGGAUAAUAUAUUGAACCGCAUGGUUCAAUAGUGAAAGACGGUUUUGCUGUCACUUAAAGAUGGAUCCGCGCCGCAUUAGCUAGUUGGUAAGGUAACGGCUUACCAAGGCAACGAUGCGUAGCCGACCUGAGAGGGUGAUCGGCCACACUGGAAGUGAGACACGGUCCAGACUCCGACGGGAGGCAGCAGUAGGGAAUCUUACGCAAUGGGCGAAAGCCUGACGGUGCAACGCCGCGUGAGUGAUGAAGGUGUUCGGAUCGUAAAACUCUGUUAUUAGGAAAGAACAAAUGUGUAAGUAACUAUGCACGUCUUGACGGUACCUAAUCAGAAAGCCACGGCUAACUACGUG